AGAAGUUCCAUUUGCCACUCUAGGCCAAGCUAGAUUCCCAUCCACCCUCAGAGGACACAGCUGCUGCCUCAACUGGGAGGAUUCGGAAAGCUUCAGAAGGUUCAGGAUCCCGCCCUGGAUUGGAAUCACACCUGCCAAGCAGCCCAGCAACCAGGAGAGAAGAGGAG